GAUAUCACCUAGCCAGUGGAACUUUUGGUAGAAUAAUGCCUUUUUUAAUACCAGAGUGUAAAAAACUUGAAGUGUUAAUUUGGGAUCACAUUAUUUUAUUGAAGUGGGGUUCUAGUUAGUUUACUUUGAGUAAAUUAGAGUGUUCAAAGCAGCCUCUUGGGGCUUUGAAUAGAUUUAGCAUGGGAUAAUAGAAUAGGAUUUGAUAAUCUAUUUGUUGGUUUGAAUUAAUCAAAUAAUGAUUAAUAGGGACAGUUGGGGGCAUUCAUAUUAAGUGGUUAGCGGUGAAAUGUGUGGACCCACUUAAGAUGAACUAAAGCGAAAGCAUUUGCCAAGGAUGUUUUCAUUAAUCAAGAACGAAAGUUAAGGGAUCGAAGACGAUUAGAUACCGUCGUAGUCUUGACUGUAACUAUG
rnacentral:rRNA from 1 species